CUCAGAUGUGUGACCCUCCCCUCUGCCCGUUGCCUUUGUCACCCAGCCCCACCGGGCACCAGAUUGUUUGUCCCAUCAAGUAGAGCCCUAAACAGAAGACAAAAACAGUGCCACAAGGAAAUGCUAAGCCCCUUCUCUGUCUUCCAGGUUGUCCGAAGCCAGUGAUUAAACCUAUCUGUUGUCCGAAGCCAGUGAUUGAACCUAUCUGUUGUCCGCAACCAGUGACUGAACCUAUCUGUUGUCCGCAGCCAGUGAUUGAACCUGUCUGUUGUCCGAAGCCAGUGCCUGAACCUGUCUGUUGUCCGGAGCCAGUGAUUGAUGCUAACUGUUGUCCGCAGCCAGUGAUUGAUCCUAACUGCCCGUGUUCGAUGCCAUUAACAAAACCUAGACCACCUAUAUUAGUGAGACAAGACACAGGUUGCACGGAUAGAAAACUUCCCAAAAAGCCACUAGUAUGCAGGGAUUCUUUGAAGAAGAGCAGAUGCCAUCUGAAGAGUGAGUGUGGGACUCCAACGAGGUGCGACUCCCCCACCAGGAACAGAUCUGUACUGCUAGAGUGCGAGCCCCGUGAAAGAGAAAGAAAGUGUUCAGGUGGCGUUCUAAAGAGACGCGAUUCCCAGACAGGAAUUCCAAGAAGACUGGAAUCUCAAGUAAGGUUUGCCACAGGACCCGAUAAUGAAAUUUCAUCUAAAGCCCAUUGUUGUGAGCCACCAGUUUGCAGAAAUCGGGAAUCCCUCAGGAAGAAUGAGGACGGCAUACUGAAGAAACAGGAUUCACAGAGGACAAGGCCUAAGAAAUGCCGACUAGAACCACAAGAAAGGUGUGUUGUUCUGCCUCCUUGCUAUCAGCCAGGGGCACCUCCGGCUCCACGUGGGCCAUAGGGGCUUCCACUGUGAUCUUCAGGAUCAAGCUGUGUCCCUGCCCUCACCCCGGUGGAACACAGUUACAAAAUCCAUUUCCUCUAUACAUCUUCGUUUUCUGCUAUUCAGAAGUUUGCCGUUAUUAGACUUCCCUGACACAAACUACAUCUUCCAAAUUUUUUCUGUAAGCCAAUACGUAUAUCUACUCCAACGAAGAAAGACAGUGUUCUCAGAAAUAAAAUGUCUUUACUAAAUACCUAAUUAGUUCUUUUGACAGUGUUCUAUCUCUAGCUCACCCAGUUGACCUUAUGACCUUGAUGGCUGCAAAUGCUUUAUGAUCCACCAAAAAAAAAAAAAAAUACAUAGGAAAUAAAGUCAGACCUCCCGCAACCAAGCAGUUUAUGACAGAAAUGGUGGCCAUGUAAGCACAAUCAUUUUUUUAAGAGUCAAUUUUAAAAUGUGUCCAAAAGUAGUUUAAGUGGUCUGGAAAGAGUUUAGAGAUAAGAGAGUCAGAAAUCAGUCGGUAGAGCUUGGGACUCUUAAUCCCAGGGUCGUGGGUUCGAGCCCCACGUUGGGCGCCAAAAUGUUAUCUUUUGUUUAAAAAGAAUAGAAAUGCUGAGGCAUGACACAUAUUGACUAUAAGUUUAUUAUAGGCCCGGCAGAGUAUGGAGACUAAGAGAAGAAGAACAGGAUAAUGGCUGACCACCAUGGCCGGUUGCCAUAGAGAGACAGAGAGAGAGCAUAGGUGGGAGACAGAGUAGAGAGAAAGCAGAGACAAAGCAGAGCGGGGGAACAGAGAGAGGAAACAGAGAGCGUAAAUGGGCAGGGACCUGUCUUUUAAAGGGGUCCUCUGCACCUGCGCGCAGACUUAGUUCCCAUGGAACCUUGGGCUGACCAGGGUACUGCCUGUUCCACCAGGUAAUAGGGGCAGGCCAGCAUAAUGCCUGAACCUUUCAGGCAUAGCCCUGUGAGUCUGAGGUCAGCCUGGUCUACACAGCAGUUCCAGGCCAGCCAGAUAUACAUGGUGAAAUUCUACCUCACUACUACUAAUAAUAAUAAAUUAAAAUAAAAAUUUGAAAGUUCUUAUCUCCAGCAAGAGACAUAACCCAACAGGGGGCUGUGAGGGGUCCUCUCCGUUUCUCAUGUCCUCUUGAUUGCUGUCCUCCUGUCCUGCCUCAGAAAGAGAGGAAGCAGUUGGCUGGUGGCUCAUGUGCAACGCUGCCUUCAGCCAAACCUGAGGCCAGGACCCUCCCAAGUCCUGUGACCUCCAUACAUCGUACACGCACACAGACACACUCACACACAUGUGCACACACACGUGCACACACACGUGCACACAGAGACGCGUGCGCAAGCGCGCACACCACACACGUGCACACACGCACAGACACCACACACACACACCACACACGUGCACACACGCGCACAGACACCACACACGUGCACAUGCACUUGCGCGCACACACGCACGCGCAUCCACACGCCACAAGCACGUACACAUACACACGUAUUGACACUCACCACACACGCACAACACACACACACACACACACACACACACACACUCCCCGCCAUUGCCUUCUGCUCAUUUCCCAUUCACGCCCACCCGCGCCCCCUCCGCACCGCCCC
ensembl:lncRNA